rnacentral:rRNA from 1 species
UUGGUGAGGUAACGGCUCACCAAGGCAUCGAUGGAUAGGGGAACUGAGAGGUUUAUCCCCCACACUGGGACUGAGACACGGCCCAGACUCCUACGGGAGGCAGCAGUGAGGAAUAUUGGUCAAUGAGGGCAACCUUGAACCAGCCAAGUCGCGUGAAGGAUGACUGUCCUAAGGAUUGUAAACUUCUUUUAUAUGGGAAUAAUUGUAGCCACGUGUGGUUAUUUGCAUGUACCAUAUGAAUAAGGAUCGGCUAACUCCGUGCCAGCAGCCGCGGUAAUACGGAGGAUCCAAGCGUUAUCCGGAUUUAUUGGGUUUAAAGGGUGCGCAGGCGGGAGAUUAAGUCGGUGGUGAAAUUUUGCGGCUCAACCGUAAGAGUGCCAUCGAAACUGGUUUUCUUGAGUGUAGAUGAAGUAGGCGGAAUUUGUGGUGUAGCGGUGAAAUGCAUAGAUAUCACGAGGAACUCCAAUUGCGCAGGCAGCUUACUAAACUACUACUGACGCUCAUGCACGAAGGCGUGGGGAUCAAACAGGAUUAGAUACCCUGGUAGUCCACGCAGUAAACGAUGAUUACUAGUUGUUUGCGAUACACUGUAAGCGACUGCGCGAAAGC